rnacentral:misc_RNA from 1 species
UUUCCGUAGGUGAACCUGCGGAAGGAUCAUUAUCGUGGGGGCCUCACAGCCCCUACCGAGAUAGCACCCUCUGUCUUCUUGAGCACCUUCUGUUUCCUCGGCAGGCUCGCCUGCCAAUGGGGACCACACAAAACCUCACUGCAGUAUCAGUAGUAAACGUAUCAAACAAAACAAUUAAAACUUUCAACAACGGAUCUCUUGGUUCUGGCAUCGAUGAAGAACGCAGC